GUGGGAGGGGGCUUGCCCCCGAUAGCGGUGUGUCAGCCAGUGUAUUGGGCUCUGACACUCCGUAAUCGGGGGCAAGCCCCCUCCCAC
rnacentral:misc_RNA from 1 species